CGGCUCAUUAUAACAGCUAUAAUGUACUUGAUGUUGAUUAUCCAACGUGGAUAACUGUGGCAAUUCUAGAGCUAAUACAUGCACCAAAGCUCCGACUUUUGAACGAGCGCAUCUAUUAGAUUAAAACCAAUCGGGUUAUUAGCCCGUUAAUUGGUGACUCUGAAUAGCUAUGGCUGAUCGCAUGGUCUUGUACCGGCGACGUAUCUAUCAAGUGUCUGCCUUAUCAACUUUCGAUGGUAGUUUAUGUGCCUACCAUGGUUGUAACGGGUAACGGAGAAUAAGGGUUCGACUCCGGAGAGGGAGCCUGAGAAACGGCUACCACAUCCAAGGAAGGCAGCAGGCGCGCAAAUUACCCACUCUCAGAAUGAGGAGGUAGUGACGAAAAAUAACGAGACCGUUCUCUUUGAGGCCGGUUAUCGGAAUGGGUACAAUUUAAACCUGUUAACGAGGAUCUAUGAGAGGGCAAGUCUGGUGCCAGCAGCCGCGGUAAUUCCAGCUCUCAAAGUGUAUAUCGUCAUUGCUGCGGUUAAAAAGCUCGUAGUUGGAUCUGCGUCUCAGGACCUGGUCCAUCCAUUGGAUGAGAACUGGGCUCCUAGGCUAAUAUUGCCAGUUUUCCAUACGUUACCUUGAUUGGUUGCGUAUGGUGGCUAGCAAGUUUACCUUGAAAAAAUUAGAGUGCUCAAUGCGGGCUAAUGCCUGAAUACUCGUGCAUGGAAUAAUGAAAUAGGAUCUCGGUUCUAUUUUGUUGGUUUUCUGAUCUGAGAUAAUGGUUAAGAGGGACGGACGGGGGCAUUCGUAUCGCUGCGUGAGAGGUGAAAUUCUU
rnacentral:rRNA from 1 species